GACGAACGCUGGCGGCGUGCUUAACACAUGCAAGUCGAACGGAAAGGCCCUGCUUUUGUGGGGUGCUCGAGUGGCGAACGGGUGAGUAACACGCGAGUAACCUGCCCUUGACUUUGGGAUAACUUCAGGAAACUGGGGCUAAUACCGGAUAGGAGCUCCUGCUGCAUGGUGGGGGUUGGAAAGUUUCGGCGGUUGGGGAUGGACUCGCGGCUUAUCAGCUUGUUGGUGGGGUAGUGGCUUACCAAGGCUUUGACGGGUAGCCGGCCUGAGAGGGUGACCGGCCACAUUGGGACUGGGAUACGGCCCGGACGCCUACGGGAGGCAGGAGUGGGGAAUAGUGCAAAAUGGGCGGAAGCCGGAGGCAGCAACGCCGCGUGCGGGAUGACGGCCUUCGGGUUGUAAACCGCUUUCGCGUGUGACGAAGCGUGAGUAACGGUAAUGGGUAAAGAAGCACCGGCUAACUACGU
rnacentral:rRNA from 1 species